rnacentral:rRNA from 1 species
CAGUAGCCGCGGUAAUACAGAGGAUGCAAGCGUUAUCCGGAAUGAUUGGGCGUAAAGCGUCUGUAGGUGGCUUUUCAAGUCCGCCGUCAAAUCCCAGGGCUCAACCCUGGACAGGCGGUGGAAACUACCAAGCUGGAGUACGGUAGGGGCAGAGGGAAUUUCCAGUGGAGCGGUGGAAUGCGUUGAGAUCGAAAAGAACACCAACAGCGAAAGCACUCUGCUGGGACGACACUGACACUAAGAGACGAAAGCUAGGGGAGCAAAUGGGAUUAGAUACCCCUGUAGUCCCUGUCUCUUAUAC